rnacentral:misc_RNA from 1 species
AACGCACGAGACCUGCGGACCUGCGGAAGGAUCAUUAUAGAGUUUUUAACUCCCAAACCCAUGUGAACUUACCUUUGUUGCCUCGGCGGAGCCUACCCGGUACCUACCCUGUAGCGCCCCGCCGGUGGACUUCUAAACUAUUGUUAUUUUAAUGAUAUCUGAGAGUCUUAUUUUAAUAAGUCAAAACUUUUAGCAACGGAUCUCU